rnacentral:snRNA from 1 species
AUCGCUUCUCGGCCUUUUGGCUAAGAUCAAGUGUAGAAAUUGCAAUGCAUUAUUAUUAUUUAUUAACAUAUCUAAAGACAUCUGCCUUCUAGAGUAAAAAUUAUUCAAUGUUUAGAUCUUUUGGGGAAGCCUUU